rnacentral:rRNA from 1 species
UACGUAGGCAGCGAGCGUUGUUCGGAAUUACUGGGCGUAAAGAGUGUGUAGGCGGUGCUCCCAGUCUGUUGUGAAAUCUCCCGGCUUAACUGGGAGGGUGCAGCGGAAACUAGAGUGCUAGAGGGGUGGGAGAGGUAAGCGGAAUUCCUGGUGUAGCGGUGAAAUGCGUAGAUAUCAGGAGGAACACCGGUGGCGAAGGCGGGUCUCUGGGCAACAACUGACGCUGAGGAGCGAAAGCGUGGGGAGCGAACAGG